CCUAUCUUAACUAACAUAGGUCCUAUCUUAACUAACAUAGGU
rnacentral:sRNA from 1 species